GCCUGGGUGGCUCAGUCCGUGGAGCGUCCGACUUCAGCUCAGGUCAUGAUCUCGCGGCUCGCGGGUUCGAGCCCCGCGUCGGGCU
rnacentral:tRNA from 1 species